GAGAUUGUAUAAGAAAUCGGGAGGGGAAAAGAUUAAAGAGGAAAGGAAAAAAUUAUACGAGAAAGGGGAGGGAGGAAGGGAAAGGAGGGAAGGAAAGCGGAGAGAAGGAGGGAGAGGAGGAAGGCAAACGGACUAUAGGAGAGAGAAUGGGUGAUGAGGAGUGUUUGGGAGGGGAUACCGAAAGAGCUUACAGUGGCUAAGGUAUUGCUGGGUUAGGUUAAGUUAGAAAGGCAUAAUAAGACAAGGUAUCCAGAGCAGAUGAUACCGAAAGAGCUUACAGUGGCUAAGGUAUUGCUGGGUUAGGUUAUGUAAGGUUAGAAAGGCAUGAUAAGACAAGGUAUCCAGAGCAGAUGAUAUCGAAUGAGCUUAUAUUGGCUUAGGUAUUGCUGGGUUAGGUUACGUUAGGUUAGAAAGGCAUAAUAAGACAAGGUAUCCAGAGCAGAUGAUAUUGAUUGAGCUUAUAUUGGCUUAGGUAAUGGGGGGUUAGGUUAGGUUAAGUUAGGUUAGAAAGGCAUAAUAAGACAAGGUAUCCAGAGCAGAUGAUAUCGAAAGAGCUUACAGUGGCUUAGGUAUUGCUGGGUUAGGUUAAGUUAGGUUAGAAAGGCAUAAGACAAGGUAUCCAGAGCAGAUGAUAUCGAUUGAGCUUAUACUGGCUUAGGUAUUGCUGGGUUGGGUUAGGUUAAGUUAGGUUAGGUUAGAAAGGCAUAAUAAGACAAGGUAUCCAGAGCAGAUGAUAUUGAUUGAGCUUAUAUUGGCUUAGGUAAUGGGGGUUUAGGUUAGGUUGAGCUAGGUUAGGAAGGCAUGAGACAAGGUUGAUAGAGCUUAUAGUGGUUUAGAUAAUGCUGGGUUAGGUUAAGUCAUAUCAGAAAGAUUAGGAAAAGAGGGAGAGUUCGGGCUAUCCACAGGUGUUGAUGGCGUCAAUAAAGGUCAUACAUACACCUGGCUGGGGCGAGGGGGGGAGCUGCACAAGAGAAAGCUUGCUCUGACAGAGUGAUGAAGCGUCAGGCGCUUCCUGUAGGGGUAAGGCAGCGCUCUGUUGGGUCUCGUGAAACGGUAGAAUUAAUCAUCUCGCAGACAAAAAGGAAAUAAGAGGGAAAAAAUGGGUUUGUAUUAAGCACUCAGGAACAAAACAUAGAAUUCCCAAAAUGGAGCACUGGCCAGCGUGGUACAUGAGCUGUAGAGAGAGAUAAGAGAAAAAAAUUGAUAACAUUGCUUCUCUUACUUUCAAAGCAAAAUUAUACUAAGCACUCAGGACCAAAACAUAAAGUUCCCAAAAUGGAGCAGUGCUGGGCUGUGUGGUAUAUGAGCUGCACACAGAGAGAUAACAGCGUGAAAACACCCCGAUAAUAUUGCUGCUUUUUUUCAUUUCCAGAGAAAAAAAAUAUUCUCCGAGAAACCUACGUAGAUGGCAUGACCUAAUUGAGUGUGGAUACUUACAGAUUUCGAUUUAUAAAAAAGAAAGCGGAAAAAACGUUAGGAUAAUGUAGUUUCGCUUUCCUCACUUGCCAACCAAAAAUAGAUUAAAUAAAUAUAUCCCCGAGGACCCUAUGUAUGUAGAUGGAAUGGCCUGAUCACUUGUACAUCAUGACAUAUUUCGAGUUAAUAAAAAAGCCGUGAAAAACAUUGGUUAUAUUGUAGUUUACCCUUCCUCACUUGCCCCAGAGUAGGCAAAAUCCAGCAAAAUUCGAUGCACUUCAAACCAAAACUGUUACUUGCUUCAUAAAGUUAAUAUAUAGUAUUUCUUUCCUUUUGCUUGCAAGUUCUUAAUUUUUUUUCGUCUUCUACCUGAACGAGCCAAGUUUAUAGUUGCGUCACUCCCCGCUAGGUGGCAAGGCUGACUUAAA